GCUGAACAACAACGGGGAACUCACUAAGCUCGAGCUGAUCAACAGCAGCAGCCAGCAGGUUGCGAUCAGUUGUCCGUCCAGCCAGCCCCUCAGUGCCAAUGUACAGCUGAACGAGUGUGCUUCUCCGCGCCGUUUCACUUUAUUGGUAACCAACAGGUAUCGAGAGUGCGAUUUCAAAACGUCAUUUUCAGCGAGUGAUCGUUUUGUCGCGGUGAUCGCGCAGUAGGCCAGUGUGGUGUGCAUGUGCACUAGUGCUCUCGGGAGAAAAUUGUGUGUGAAAGUUGUGCAAAGUUUCCGACUCCAAAGUGCUCAAAUUGGUGCGCGAAUUGUUCGCCUGGUGCAGUAGUGUGCUGUGGAUUAAGGUCCUCUAUACAGAGCUUUUCAUAGAGAUAUACAAAAAGUGAAGAGUGUCUGGCCAGCAACCACAACAGAAGAAGCAAUCAAGCAGCCAGCCAGUGUCAGUGUUGUUGGGGACCCCACAUACCAUCGAUCGUGCACAUACACACGUGUGCACCACACACAUCAGCGCGAGGAAAUUACGGUGUGCGCGAGUUACCUGUCGCUCACAUCACUCACCCGCGCGCAUCGAGCACACACGGGCACUACAGCGCUCAGCCAGUAGCACAAGCAGCAAUCGCAGCAAGCCAAACCACCGGAGAGGGUGACGUGUUGUGUGUUUGAAAGUUCGCCGAAGUUAGACGCCGAGUUGAUCGAGUAGAGCGGGCGGUUCACUACACUACUGCUGUGCUGUGCUGAAGGGCAGUUC